rnacentral:tRNA from 2 species
GCCCAGGUGGCGGAAUUGGUAGACGCGCACGGUUCAGGUCCGUGUGCCGCAAGGCGUGAAGGUUCGAGUCCUUUCCUGGGCACCA